UGAGUUUGAUCAUGGCUCAGGACGAACGCUGGCGGCGGGCUUAACACAUGCAAGUCGAACGAGAAGCUCAGGGCUUGCCCUGGGUGGAAAGUGGCGCACGGGUGAGUAACGCGUAGGCAACCUGCCCUCGAGAGGGGAAUAACCAUCGGAAACGAUGGCUAAUACCGCAUGAAGUCCCGAACUGCAUGGUUCGGGAUGAAAACUCUGGUGCUCGAGGAUGGGCCUGCGUCGGAUUAGCUAGUAGGUAGGAUAACAGCCUACCUAGGCAACGAUCCGUAGCUGGUCUGAGAGGACGAUCAGCCACACUGGCACUGAGACACGGGCCAGACUCCUACGGGAGGCAGCAGUGGGGAAUCUUGGGCAAUGGGCGAAAGCCUGACCCAGCCACGCCGCGUGGAGGAAGACACCCCUAUGGGGCGUAAACUCCUUUUAUAUGGGAAGAACACCUUCCUCGGGAAGGCUUGACGGUACCAUAUGAAUAAGCACCGGCUAACUCCGUGCCAGCAGCCGCGGUAAUACGGAGGGUGCAAGCGUUGUCCGGAUUCACUGGGUGUAAAGGGUGUGCAGGCGGGAGGGUAAGUCAGAGGUGAAAGCCCACGGCUCAACCGUGGAAUGGCCUUUGAAACUGCCGUUCUUGAGUCUCGGAGAGGUCGCUGGAAUUCGUGGUGUAGCGGUGAAAUGCGUAGAUAUCACGAGGAACACCGGAGGCGUAGGCGAGCGACUGGACGACGACUGACGCUGAGGCACGAAAGCGUGGGGAGCAAACAGGAUUAGAUACCCUGGUAGUCCACGCCGUAAACGAUGGAUGCUCGGUGUUGGCCUCCCUAGUGGGGUCAGCGCCUAAGCUAA
rnacentral:rRNA from 1 species